CUCCACAGUUACUGGUCUGAAACUGUUCAGGACUGUAGCAGUUGCAGUAUUCCCUCUGUGGAAGAUAAAACUGUUACGUAGUAUUAAGCUCCUUCUCAGAUCCUCUAAGAAGGACUUUCUAUGUAACAAACAAUG
rnacentral:snoRNA from 1 species